CCAACAUGGAUACCCCGGGAGGUCAUAGGGCUCUGCCCAAUGAUGUAUAGUCCCUUUCCACAAUGUCGGAUAUGAAGCCGGGCUUUUGUGUCUGAGCCUACAUAUUCCUAUAGCUUCCCAGAGUCUGUGGAUAGUGACUGGGGAGAUAAACCAUGCAGGAAACAUAC
ensembl:snoRNA SNORA73 Small nucleolar RNA SNORA73 family